rnacentral:sRNA from 1 species
AUAUCUCUCCGUACGGGAAGGAUGAGAAGCUUCGACCAAGGUUCGAUUCGAGCAUCAGCGAGAAAGCGUUGCCGCAGGCAACGACCCGAAGGGCGAAGCGCG